rnacentral:rRNA from 1 species
CGGGAAAAGCUCAAAUUUAAAAUCUGGCGGUCCCUGUGGCCGUCCGAGUUGUAAUUUAGAGAAGUGUUAUCCGUGCUGGACCGUGUACAAGUCUCCUGGAAUGGAGCGUCAUAGAGGGUGAGAAUCCCGUCU